rnacentral:rRNA from 1 species
AACGAACGCUGGCGGCAGGCCUAACACAUGCAAGUCGAGCGAGCAUUUCGGUGCUAGCGGCGGACGGGUGAGUAACGCGUGGGAACGUGCCCUUUUCUGCGGAAUAGUCCUGGGAAACUGGGGGUAAUACCGCAUACGCCCUUUUGGGGAAAGAUUUAUCGGAGAAGGAUCGGCCCGGGUUGGAUUAGGUAGUUGGUGGGGUAAUGGCCCACCAAGCCGACGAUCCAUAGCUGGUUGGAGAGGAUGAUCAGCCACACUGGGACUGCGACACGGCCCAGACUCCUACGGGAGGCAGCAGUGGGGAAUCUUAGACAAUGGGGGCAACCCUGAUCUAGCCAUGCCGCGUGAGUGAUGAAGGCCUUAGGGUUGUAAAGCUCUUUCAGCUGGGAAGAUAAUGACGGUACCAGCAGAAGAAGCCCCGGCUAACUCCGUG